AUUGAACGCUGGCGGCAGGCUUAACACAUGCAAGUCGAGCGGGGUGAUGGUGCUUGCACUAUCACUUAGCGGCGGACGGGUGAGUAAUGCUUAGGAAUCUGCCUAUUAGUGGGGGACAACAUCUCGAAAGGGAUGCUAAUACCGCAUACGUCCUACGGGAGAAAGCAGGGGAUCACUUGUGACCUUGCGCUAAUAGAUGAGCCUAAGUCGGAUUAGCUAGUUGGUAGGGUAAAGGCCUACCAAGGCGACGAUCUGUAGCGGGUCUGAGAGGAUGAUCCGCCACACUGGGACUAAGACACGGCCCAGACUCCUACGGGAGGCAGCAGUGGGGAAUAUUGGACAAUGGGGGGAACCCUGAUCCAGCCAUGCCGCGUGUGUGAAGAAGGCCUUAUGGUUGUAAAGCACUUUAAGCGAGGAGGAGGCUCUUUUGGUUAAUACCCAAGAUGAGUGGACGUUACUCGCAGAAUAAGCACCGGCUAACUCUGUGCCAGCAGCCGCCGUAA
rnacentral:rRNA from 1 species